AGUUCCCUGCUUGGUUCGUGAUAGCUCCUUUUAGACCCACAUCUAUUUUAAGGGAUGUCGGACUUCCGUUUCGGCGUGCAGGCCUCCCGCUUUGGCUUUGACCGUAAGCGGACGUUGGAAGCAGAAAAGACGCGGAGAGACAACCCACCUGCCCUAUCGUGCAGGUUAUAAACGGAGUUACACGGCUGUAGCGGGGAUUUU
rnacentral:other from 1 species